GAUGAACGCUGGCGGCGUGCCUAACACAUGCAAGUCGAACGGGUGUGGUAUCAGGGAAAAGGGGUUUACUUCUUUGACCAGAUAACACACUAGUGGCGGACGGGUGAGUAACGCGUGGAUAACCUGCCUUAUACAGGGGGAUAACAGGGAGAAAUUCUUGCUAAUACCCCAUAGGUGUGUCUGACGCAUGUUGGACAUAUUAAAGCUUUGGCGGUAUAAGAUGGGUCCGCGUCUGAUUAGCUAGUUGGUGGGGUAAAGGCCCACCAAGGCGACGAUCAGUAGCCGGCUUGAGAGAGUGGACGGCCACAUUGGGACUGAGACACGGCCCAAACUCCUACGGGAGGCAGCAGUGGGAAUAUUGCACAAUGGGGGAAACCCUGAUGCAGCGACGCCGCGUGAAGGAAGAAGGUCCUCGGAUCGUAAACUUCUAUCAGCAGGGAAGAAGGAAGUGACAGUACCUGAGUAAGAAGCCCCGGCUAACUACGUGCCAGCAGCCGCGGUAAUACGUAGGGGGCGAGCGUUAUCCGGAAUUACUGGGUGUAAAGGGUGCGUAGGCGGUAUGGCAAGUCAGUUGUGAAACCCCCUGGCUCAACCAGGGGCUUGCAAUUGAAACUGUCAUACUAGAGUGCAGGAGAGGAAAGCGGAAUUCCUAGUGUAGCGGUGAAAUGCGUAGAUAUUAGGAAGAACACCAGUGGCGAAGGCGGCUUUCUGGACUGUAACAGACGCUGAGGCACGAAAGCGUGGGGAGCGAACAGGAUUAGAUACCCUGGUAGUCCACGCCGUAAACGAUGAGUGCUAGGUGUUGGGGUCUAAUUAGAUCUCGGUGCUGAAGUUAACGCAUUAAGCACUCCACCUGGGGAGUACGAUCGCAAGAUUGA
rnacentral:rRNA from 1 species